rnacentral:rRNA from 1 species
UACGUAGGGUGCGAGCGUUAAUCGGAAUUACUGGGCGUAAAGCGUGCGCAGGCGGUUCGUUGUGUCUGUGGUGAAAGCCCCGGGCUUAACCUGGGAAUGGCCAUGGAAACUGGCGAGCUGGAGUGUGGCAGAGGGGGGUGGAAUUCCGCGUGUAGCAGUGAAAUGCGUAGAGAUGCGGAGGAACACCGAUGGCGAAGGCAGCUCUCUGGGACGGUACUGACGCUGAGACGCGAAAGCGUGGGGAGCGAACAGG